GUGAAAGUGACCACAAAGUGACACAAUUCGAAGGAAAGACCCAAAACCUAGGGGUGCAGUAGGCCCAAUUGCCAUAACUCUGUGGUGGCUUGCAGGCCUACAAGCAGGACUUCGCCGGUUGUACAUGAAUGUUCUGCAAUGAGCUGUAUGAGGAUCGCUUAACCACCAUUUACUUACAAGUGAACUAUUUCCCCGGCAAGUUUGAUUUUAAAGCCUUAAACGUACUAUUGAGUCAUGCAACCAUCCGCAUUUACCAAGAACAGACCACAUUUCCAGUAUUGACCCGAUAUUGACCAUUUCACACCCGAAAACAAUGGGCGCCAACAACCAUAAACUGGUCAAGUCAACAUAGAAUAAACCCUUGAAAGAGUCGCUCAAUAACAACGAAAACGCAUACGAGACAUACACUGCCGGACAAAAGUAGAGCAACGUUUUGAAAUGUACAGGGUGUCCAAGAUAAUGAUGCAUUGCAUGGGGAACUCCGAAACCGCAAGAGAUACAAAGUCGGUUAAAUUAGGAAAAAGUUGCGCAAUUAAGGCGUUUUCAAAAAACAAGUAUUUCUUUUAUCUUUUCAGAUAUUUAGAAAGUU